rnacentral:rRNA from 1 species
ACGGAAGGCAGCAGUGAGGAAUAUUGGUCAAUGGGCGGGAGCCUGAACCAGCCAAGUCGCGUGAGGGACGGCGGUCCUAUGGAUUGUAAACCUCUUUUGCCGGGGAGUAACGUGCGGGACGCGUCCCGCAGUGAGAGUACCCGGAGAAAAAGCAUCGGCUAACUCCGUGCCAGCAGCCGCGGUAAUACGGAGGAUGCGAGCGUUAUCCGGAUUUAUUGGGUUUAAAGGGUGCGCAGGCGGCGCUCCAAGUCAGCGGUCAAAUCCCGGUGCUCAACGCCGGUCCGCCGUUGAAACUGGGGUGCUCGAGUGGGUGCGAGGUACGCGGAAUGCGUGGUGUAGCGGUGAAAUGCAUAGAUAUCACGCAGAACCCCGAUUGCGAAGGCAGCGUUCCAGCACCUUACUGACGCUCAUGCACGAAAGCGUGGGUAUCGAACAGGAUUAGAUACCCUGGUA